rnacentral:rRNA from 1 species
CCGGGGCUAAUACCGGAUGCUUGAUUGAGCCGCAUGGUUCAAUUAUAAAAGGUGGCUUUCAGCUACCACUUACAGAUGGACCCGCGGCGCAUUGGCUAGUUGGUGAGGUAACGGCUCACCAAGGCGACGAUGCGUAGCCGACCUGAGAGGGUGAUCGGCCACACUGGGACUGAGACACGGCCCAGACUCCUACGGGAGGCAGCAGUAGGGAAUCUUCCGCAAUGGACGAAAGUCUGACGGAGCAACGCCGCGUGAGUGAUGAAGGUUUUCGGAUCGUAAAACUCUGUUGUUAGGGAAGAACAAGUACCGUUCGAAUAGGGCGGCACCUUGACGGUACCUAACCAGAAAGCCACGGCUAACUACGUGCCAGCAGCCGCGGUAAUACGUAGGUGGCAAGCGUUGUCCGGAAUUAUUGGGCGUAAAGCGCGCGCAGGCGGUUUCUUAAGUCUGAUGUGAAAGCCCCCGGCUCAACCGGGGAGGGUCAUUGGAAACUGGGGAACUUGAGUGCAGAAGAGGAGAGUGGAAUUCCACGUGUAGCGGUGAAAUGCGUAGAGAUGUGGAGGAACACCAGUGGCGAAGGCGACUCUCUGGUC